AUAUUGAUAGAGAUCGAGGAACAGAAAUAUCUUCAUCAACCAAAUCCCAUGAAGGCUCCAUCGAUGAAGAGAGAUAAAAUGAAUAUUGUCGCUUCCAUCAUGGCCAUGGUCAUGAAACUGAGAAUUGCCUACAACUCAAGGAUGAAAUUGAAGCCCUAAUCCAUCAAGAUUAUCUUGAUAAGUAUGUCUGAGAUCGGAUAAGUCAGGCUACUAAACAUUGAUAGAAAACUGAUGAAGACACUGAGCAAAAUCAAUUUACAACUGGGAUCAUCAAUAUGGUCUCAGGUUUUAGUGGAAGU
rnacentral:lncRNA from 1 species